CUCAAGUACAUGAAAAACCAGCUUUACUGUCCCUUGAUAUGAGAUUAAUUUUUUUUUUCUUUUAGAGCAUUUACCAUUCUAAGGUGGGACAAAUACUAUCCCUGUUUCUCAGCUGUAGAAACUGGAAUGCUGAAAGGUUAAGCAACGUUCACGAAGUUCCACAGUUGCUGAUUUUAAAGGGACUUUACUAAAUAAUAAGGAAAAAAAAUUAAAAAGGCCACAAGGACGGAAAAGACAAAAGCACAAGAAAAGCCCCGUUUACAUGCUGCAGAUUUCUGAUUUAAC
rnacentral:lncRNA from 1 species